UUUUCACACAAACUUAAAUACAGUGUAGAAUGUCUUUUGCGAUAACACGCAAUUAAUACAACUUUCAACAACGGAUCUCUUGGCUCUCGCAUCGAUGAAGAACGCAGCGAAAUGCGAUACGUAAUGUGAAUUGCAGAAUUCAGUGAAUCAUCGAAUCUUUGAACGCCCCUUGCGCCCCUUGGCAUUCCGAGGGGCACACCCGUUUGAGUGUCGUGAAAUUCUCAAAAGCCUUUCUUUUGAAAGGAUUUUGGACAUGGAGGCUUUUGCUGGCUUCACCUCGAAGCCAGCUCCUCUUAAACAAAUUAGUGGGGUCUGCUUUGCCGAUCCUCGACGUGAUAAGAUGUUUCUACGUCUGGGGUUCGGUGAUGUCUUUUGGGCACCUGCUUCUAAUCGUCUCAUCGACAAUGAUGGCGUUCCGGUCACCGCCGUUUCAUCGGUCGGUCGGCUUGACCCACCAAAAAAACUUGACCUCAAAUCAGGUAG
rnacentral:rRNA from 1 species